CAGUAAAUAUUUUAUAAAAAUAUAAAUUUUGGAGAUUUAAGAUAUGUUACUCAACAUUUUACUGA
rnacentral:tRNA from 1 species